AAGUCGUAACAAGGUUUCCGUAGGUGAACCUGCGGAAGGAUCAUUAACGAGUUUGAACUGGGUUGUUCUGGCUCUUCGGAGCAUGUGCACGCCCUCUCAAUCCACACACACCUGUGAACUUGUGGGGAGAACAAUGAAGGUGACGCUGGUAAAACGGCUGAUCCCUCGUUCUCUCUUAUUUUUACAUCCAACUACAAAGUUAUAGAAAGUCUUUUGCUUGAUGCAAACUAAAUACAACUUUCAACAACGGAUCUCUUGGCUCUC
rnacentral:misc_RNA from 1 species